CGGUGCCUCUGGUCUGCUGGGGGGAGGGGGGGGCGCAGCUAGUAGCCCCGCCCUCCCCCCCAGCAGACCAGGGAGACGU
rnacentral:pre_miRNA from 1 species